UGAGUCGGCCGGGCGAUCGCGUGCAGCUUUGCGCGGCGCGAGGAAAGUCCGGGCUCCACAGGGCAGGGCGUCAGGUAACGCCUGGGGGGCGCAAGCCUACGGAAAGUGCCACAGAAAAUAUACCGCCCCGCUUGCGGGGUAAGGGUGAAAAGGUGCGGUAAGAGCGCACCGCGCCGGUGAAAGCCGGUGGCAGGGUAAACCCCGCCUGGAGCAAGGCCAAAUAGGGAAACGCGUCCGGCAUCCGCCGGGCACAUGUGGUCCGCAUGAGUUUCCGGGUAGGCCGCUAGAGGCAUUCGGUGACGGAUGCCGCAGAUGAAUGAUCGCCACCGGUGGCGAACACCGGUACAGAACCCGGCUUACAGGCCGGCUCACCAC
rnacentral:RNase_P_RNA from 1 species